rnacentral:rRNA from 1 species
GACAGAGGGUGCAAACGUUGCUCGGAAUUACUGGGCGUAAAGCGCGUGUAGGCGGACUUGUAAGUCAGGUGUGAAAGCCCUGGGCUCAACCCAGGAACUGCAUCUGAAACUGCUCGUCUUGAGUGUCGGAGAGGGAAGCGGAAUUCCGGGUGUAGAGGUGAAAUUCGUAGAUAUCCGGAGGAACACCGGUGGCGAAGGCGGCUUCCUGGACGACUACUGACGCUGAGACGCGAAAGCGUGGGGAGCAAACAGG